GUAGAACCAGGGGGACAGUUAUGACCAGGUAGAACCAGGGGGACAGUUAUGACCAGGUAGAACCAGGGGGACAGUUAUGACCAGGUAGAACCAGGGGGACAGUUAUGACCAGGUAGAACCAGUGGGUGGAGUUAGAAUGACCAGGUAGAACCAGGGGGACAGUUAU